UCUGCGCCGGUCAUUGAUCUCAUGGGUAAAUGAAUUAUUCAUAGCUCAUAUCGUAUUUAGAACAUUUUUACCGCAAUAACAUUUAAUUCGUAUGCUUGUUACUCGUGUGUCUCUUAAAUUUACUUGAAAUUAUUCAGAUAUCAAGCGUGCAUGAACAAUAAACUCAACAAAACAUUUUGGAUAAUGAAGUUAUUGUUGGUGGUUUUUUUUUCUAAAUCAUCAUAAAUUUCCAUCACGUUUAAAUUGUCAGCGGUUUCUUUAUCAAUUUAGCCAAAAAAAAGAAGACAUAACUCGCGCUAGCGAACGAAAAUUUUGGUCUUUGUGCCUGCGACGACUGGUAGACAUUGAAAAAAAAGGCAGCCUCGGUGCUUCACUUUUGUAAUGAAUCUUAAAGCUCAGGCGAAUGGCGUGCAAAUACAGCAUAAAGAGUGCAUUUUAUGAAUUAUUAAAAAUCAUAAAACAAAUGAAUGCUGAAGGAGAAGAAGAAGCAGCAACAGACAAACCCCCGGCAAAUUAGUAUUAAAAGUAGCCCAAAGGAAUUUCGAAAAAAAAACCAGCCAAAAUUUAAUUUAUGCGCAGACAUCUGUGUAACGCCCUCAUCUUUUCGCCUUGCCAAAUGGGGCGUUAUGAAAAUUUAAUUAUAUUUCAAAUGAUAUAAAAAUUACAUCUAUCAAGUUUGAG
rnacentral:sRNA from 1 species